UACGUAGGGGGCAAGCGUUAUCCGGAUUUACUGGGUGUAAAGGGAGCGCAGACGGAACUGCAAGUCUGAUGUGAAAGCCAGGGGCUCAACCGCGGGACUGCAUCGGAUACUGUGGAUCUGGAGUGCCGGAGGGGCAAGCGGAAUUCCUGGUGUAGCGGUGAAAUGCGUAGAUAUCAGGAGGAACACCGGCGGCGAAGGCGGCUUGCUGGACGGCAACUGACGUUGAGGCUCGAAAGCGUGGGGAGCAAACAGGAUUAGAUA
rnacentral:rRNA from 1 species